UACGUAGGGGGCGAGCGUUGUCCGGAUUUAUUGGGCGUAAAGAGCUCGUAGGCGGUUACGUAAGUCGGGUGUGAAAGCCCCAGGCUCAACCUGGGGAUGCCACUCGAUACUGCGUUGACUGGAGUCUGGUAGGGGAUCACGGAAUUCCUGGUGUAGCGGUGAAAUGCGCAGAUAUCAGGAGGAACACCGGUGGCGAAGGCGGUGAUCUGGGCCAGUACUGACGCUGAGGAGCGAAAGCGUGGGUAGCAAACAGG
rnacentral:rRNA from 1 species